rnacentral:rRNA from 1 species
UACGUAGGGGGCAAGCGUUGUCCGGAAUUAUUGGGCGUAAAGAGCGCGUAGGCGGUCCGAUAAGUCGGCUGUGAAAGUCCAGGGCUCAACCCUGGAAAGCCGGCCGAUACUGUCGGACUAGAGUCCGGAAGAGGCAAGUGGAAUUCCCGGUGUAGCGGUGAAAUGCGCAGAUAUCGGGAGGAACACCAAUGGCGAAGGCAGCUUGCUGGGACGGUACUGACGCUGAGGCGCGAAAGCAUGGGGAGCGAACAGG